CUGUAGCAAAGAAGCCGUACAAUCCUAUAUUGGGAGAGACGUUCCGUUGUUUCUGGGUGCUGCCUGAAUGUGAGACGUCAAGAACAGAGAAAUGUCAAAUCGACGGUCCAGUGCCUUGGGCUUCUGAAGAUGACGUCACUUUUCUUGCUGAGCAAGUAUCCCAUCAUCCUCCAAUUUCUGCCUUCUAUGCAGAGAACUUUAGUAAACAGAUUUCUUUCAACGCGCAUAUUUGGACCAAGUCAAAGUUCUUGGGAUUGUCAGUUGGAGUAGAAAACAUUGGACAAGGUAACAAAUGUUCUUCAUACACAGUUGAACUCUUUUCCGAUUUUUUUAGGCACUUGAUUUAUGAACAGUCUGUUCGCUUACUCCACGUGUUUCAGUUAAGGUGAUUCCUUAAGUUGCAUUGCGCAUCCCUACUGCGCACGAUUUUCGCGUCAUUAGCGCGC